rnacentral:rRNA from 1 species
GAUGAACGCUAGCGGCAGGCUUAACACAUGCAAGUCGAGGGGUAUUGGUUUUCGGACCAAGAGACCGGCGCACGGGUGCGUAACGCGUAUGCAAUCUACCUUUUGCAGAGGGAUAGCCCAGAGAAAUUUGGAUUAAUACCUCAUAGUAUAGUACUUUGGCAUCAAGGAACUAUUAAAGUCACAACGGCAAAAGAUGAGCAUGCGUCCCAUUAGCUAGUUGGUAAGGUAACGGCUUACCAAGGCUACGAUGGGUAGGGGUCCUGAGAGGGAGAUCCCCCCACACUGGUACUGAGACACGGACCAGACUCCUACGGGAGGCAGCAGUGAGGAAUAUUGGACAAUGGGCGCAAGCCUGAUCCAGCCAUGCCGCGCGCAGGAUGACGGUCCUAUGGAUUGUAAACUGCUUUUAUACAGGAAGAAACACUCCGACGUGUCGGAGCUUGACGGUACUGUAAGAAUAAGGAUCGGCUAACUCCGUGCCAGCAGCCGCGGUAA